rnacentral:rRNA from 1 species
UGGUACGUACUGGCAUUAUUGGUUCCUCCCUUUUGACGAACCAAGAUGUCAUUAAUUUGGUGUCUUGGGGAAUCAGGACUGUUACUUUGAAAAAAUUAGAGUGUUUAAAGCAGGUUCGCGCUUGAAUACAUUAGCAUGAAAUAAUGAAAUAGGACGUUUGAUUCUAUUUUGUUGGUUUCUAGGAUCGACGUAAUGAUUAAUAGGGAUAGUUAGGGGUAUUAGUAUUCAAUUGUUAGAGGUGAAAUUCUUGGAUUUAUUGAAGACUAACUACUGCGAAAGCAUUUGCCAAGGAUGUUUUCAUUAAUCAAGAACGAAAGUUAGGGGAUCGAAGACGAUCAGAUAUCGUCGUAGUCUUAACCAUAAACUAUGCUGACUAGGGAUCAGGAUAUUAAUUUUUUAAUGACUCAUUCGACGCCUUAUG